GCAAACUUGGUCAUUUAGAGGAAGUAAAAGUCGUAACAAGGUUUCCGUAGGUGAACCUGCGGAAGGAUCAUUAACAAAAUGGAUUGUUUACCCCUACCCACCUUGUGUGCAAUUUGAGAAUAAGCCUACUUUGGAAAGAUUAUUUCUGUAGUCUUUCCAAAGAGGUCAUUAUAAUCAAUCAUUUUUUUCUUUUCUUAUUAUCUAAAAAAUACCAAUUGAAAUAAAAAAACAACUUUCAACAACGGAUCUCUUGGCUCUCGCAUCGAUGAAGAACGCAGC
rnacentral:misc_RNA from 1 species